AACGCUGGCGGCGUGCUUAACACAUGCAAGUCAAACGGUGAAGCCCAGCUUGCUGGGUGGAUCAGUGGCGAACGGGUGAGUAACACGUGAGCAACCUGCCCCUGACUCUGGGAUAAGCGCUGGAAACGGCGUCUAAUACUGGAUACGAGACGUGAUCGCAUGGUCAACGUCUGGAAAGAUUUUUCGGUUGGGGAUGGGCUCGCGGCCUAUCAGCUUGUUGGUGAGGUAAUGGCUCACCAAGGCGUCGACGGGUAGCCGGCCUGAGAGGGUGACCGGCCACACUGGGACUGAGACACGGCCCAGACUCCUACGGGAGGCAGCAGUGGGGAAUAUUGCACAAUGGGCGGAAGCCUGAUGCAGCAACGCCGCGUGAGGGAUGACGGCCUUCGGGUUGUAAACCUCUUUUAGCAGGGAAGACGCGAAUGUGACGGUACCUGCUUAAAA
rnacentral:rRNA from 1 species